UACGGAGGGUGCGAGCGUUAUCCGGAAUUACUGGGUUUAAAGGGUGCGUAGGCGGCUUUGUAAGUCAGGCGUGAAAGUUUGCGGCUCAACCGUAAAAUUGCUUUUGAUACUGCAGAGCUAGAAUCAGGAUGAGGUUAGCGGAAUGUGGCAUGUAGCGGUGAAAUGCAUAGAUAUGCCAUAGAACACCAAUUGCGAAGGCAGCUGGCUAGACCUGCAUUGACGCUGAGGCACGAAAGCGUGGGGAGCGAACAGG
rnacentral:rRNA from 1 species